CAUGUCAGUGCAAAUGAAGACACGCAUUCACAGCUCUGAUCCUGACCUCGCCAAUAUACACCUAAUUGCGCAUCGUAAAGGCCGACGUCAUCGAACCCCAACACCUCCACCUCGACGACCGGACGAGAAAGAAUCAUUGUGAAGCCACAGAACCGGUCAGAGAAACAAACCUUAAGCCAUUUCAGAGUAAACAGCUCAUCAGCGCCAGCAACAAAUGUGGGCACAGGUGCUCGAAUAUCUGAGGGGGAGGAAGUUGUGAAUAUCAGAAACCUCCUUCAUGCAGGGUAUCAACACACCACGUAUUUCAAGAGAGCCAGCGCUGAAUGCUACAAAUUCACCUUACAUUUCGGUCUGUUGGCCGAAAAGUGUUUUGGUGCACUCGAAAUGUGACCCCAUUUACCAAACGCUGGC
rnacentral:lncRNA from 1 species